rnacentral:rRNA from 1 species
CAAUAGCGUAUAUUAAAGUUGUUGCGGUUAAAAAGCUCGUAGUUGGAUUUCUGCUGAGAACGACCGGUCCGCCCUUUGGGUGUGUAUCUGGCUCUUUCUUGGCAUCUUCUUGGUGAACGUUGCUGCACUUGACUGUGUGGAGCGCUACCCAGGACUUUUACUUUGAGGAAAUUAGAGUGUUUCAAGCAGGCAUACGCCUUGAAUACAUUAGCAUGGAAUAAUAAGAUAGGAUUUCAGUUCUAUUUUAUUGGUUCUAAGGACUGAAAUAAUGAUUAAUAGGGACAGUUGGGGGCAUUCGUAUUUAACUGUCAGAGGUGAAAUUCUUAGAUUUGUUAAAGACGAACUACUGCGAAAGCAUUUGCCAAGGAUUUUUUCAUUAA